ensembl:lncRNA
AAAAACAAUAACGAGAACAAAAGACUAUUGUACAUUUUUAUGUAUGUAUAAAUAUUUGUUGAUUAUCAUCGUUAUCCUUAUAUAUAUAUAUAUAUAUAUAUAUUUUUUUUUUUAGACUGUAGCCAUAUGUAUAAUCCGAGGAUUUAAAGGCUCAACAGUUUUUAAUGUAACUUUGAGUAGUUUAUUAUCAAAUAACUUACGGGUAUAUUUUCAUAAAGCCUUAUUAAACAUUAAGUUAACUCACUUUAUUUUAGUGUUUGUGCAAAUUAUGUAAGGAACAAUAAAAAAGAAAAAAAAAAAAAAAAAUGAUAAUAAUGAUAAUGAUAAUACCAUUACUACUAAUUAUAAUAACAAAAAUGAUAACAAUAAAUAGUAACGAUACUAUUUAUUUUUUAUAUGUGCACAUUUGUAUUAUAACGCAUCGUGGUUAUCUUAAUGUAACUACAUACUUUUAUAUAAUUAUAUAUCAUUUAUUAAUAUCACUUGUUUUACUUUAUUUAUUUAUUUUUUUUUUUUUUAAGGUUUAUACUUUCUAUUUUAAAUAUGUCCUACACAGUAAUCACAGCUGCUAAAAAGAAAAAGAAAGAAGCUGAAUUACAAUUAUUAGUUAUUUUUGUGUUCAAUAUUGUGCAAUAUUAUUUCUACCAAUCAACUUUAACAAACAAAAAUGAAUUUUUAUGUGCCUUAAUAAUAUCAUUAUACUCAUCCUUUUAUACAUGUCACAUGAACACUGCUACUAUUUUAAAGAUAAAAAUGAGUUACCUACCAAUACCUAUAAUAGCUUAUUAUAUUUUAAAUACAUUUUUAUUUGUAAUUCGAAAAACAAACCACAAAUUUUUUAAACAUGUUAUAUUUAAUGAAACUUAUAUGUUAUAUUACAUGUUAGGAUUUGGUUUAUUUUAUUUGGUUGACUAUUCAUAUACCAUAAUAACAAAUCUUUGUAGAGAACUAAACAUUGCUUUUAUGUUUAAUAAGAGUAAAAAAUAUUAAAAAGAAAAGAAUAAUUCAGACAUUUAUGCAUAGUUUUUUACAUGCAUAGUUUUUUACAUACAUAGUUUUUUACAUACAUAGUUUUUUAUAUACAUACUUUAUUUAUAUAUAAGUUCAGUUUAUUUUUGGCUUCCUAAACUUAACUACAAUAUCUAUACACGUGCAUAUGCAUAUAUAUAUAUAUAUAUAAAUUUUUAAUUUUUCAUUGAUAUCUUUAUUAUCAUUGUUUUCUUCUUUUUAUGAUUUUAUAUAUUUGUUUACAUUGAUGUACACUGAUAAAAAGCAUUUGAAAAAAAAAAAAAAAAAAAAAAAAAAUACAUAUAUGCAUAUAAAUACAUACAUACAUACAUACAUACAUACGUACAUACAUACAUACAUACGUACAUACAUACAUACAUACGUACAUACAUACAUACAUACAUAGAUACACAUACAUACUAUACAUACAUACCAACAUCUGUAUAGUUCAAUUAAUUUUUGUAAAAAUUAGUUUAUUUAUUUUUUUAACUUUUUUUACAUAAUUUUCAUGUAUGCAAUUAUGUUUACAUUUGUUCAUGUAAACAUGAGCUGUGUCCUAAGUUGUAAUAAUACAUAUACAUGUAUAUAAAUAAAGUUUAAAGUGCAUAAAGAUACA